AAGAUAGCCCUCUCCCCAACCGCCGUUCUCUCUCUGCGCCGUAAGUAGAAAACUAACCCCAUUGCGCAUGGCCUCACUAGUUCUGAAAGUCUUGCCAGCAGCUGCCAAUCCUCCUAGCGCAAACCAGUCGGCAAGUUAGGACCGCUGAUCGUGAGAGAGCGACUGAGGACUUGGGAGUCCGUUAGGACCACAAGAGCUUCUUUCAUCAUAUUAAUGGCAUUCAUAUAAUGGACGUUACCUCAAUACCUCACUACUCCAAGAUAUUUGGGUUCCGUUAAACAGCCAACCCAGACUCGGAAAAGGAUAUGAGGUAGCCCAUCGCGGCGGGCCGCUAACCCCUCAUUCCCUCAAUAGGACGAACGACGACUCCUGCCGUAGGAGAUUACGAAUUGGGCUGUCCACACACCGACACACGUGGAAUAAUCGAUCGACUUGUGCAGGUGAGCUAACUCAAUUGUUAUACAGUUUUAACGAAGGGUUGACCUAUUGUGGG